UCUCUCUCUAAUAAUACAGUAGUAUCUGUCUAUGACAACAAUAAUGUCUGCAUCGCUAACAUGAAUUUUUUUUUUUCAGAUUCUUCCAAUUCCACCAUCAACGCACCGAAUAGACACCACAUCGACCUAUUCAUCUGGGACUUCUCUCUCUAAUAAUACAAUUCUUCCAAUUCCACCAUCAACGCACCGAAUAGACACCACAUCGACCUAUUCAUCUGGGACUUCUCUCUCUAAUAAUACAAUUCUUCCAAUUCCACCAUCAACGCACCGAAUAGACACCACAUCGACCUAU